rnacentral:rRNA from 1 species
UCGGCCGUACCAUGCUGAAUAUACCGGUUCUCGUUAGAUCACCGAAGUCAAGCAUCAUUGGGCGCGGUCAGUAUUUGGGUGGGUGACCACCUGGGAACAACAC